rnacentral:tRNA from 1 species
GAGGGUAUAGCUCAGUGGUAGAGUGCAUGCCUAGCAUGCAUGAGGUCCUGGGUUCAAUCCCUACUACCUCCA